CGCCCUCCCUCAGGACCAGCCCGGAAGUCUCUCCAAGAGCCCCAAAGUCCAGGAACCCCCACCCAAGGAUUCAGACACAGAACCCACAACCCAGGGCCCCUCGGAACGAGGAAAGGUUAUCAGGACAGGACGCAGGGAGCCAGAAGACCAUCUGAAGGAAGCCUGCUUCCAACGGGCCCAGCCUCCAGCCACCGCUCCUGGGGCAGCGCCAUUGCUCCUGGCUCUCAGGCUGCCAGUCUCCCACACCGACGCUCUACUGCCCGCAUCUCGGCCAGCUGGGUCACCCAGCCCCUUUCGACUCUCCCCUGGCACGCAGCCUUCUCCUUCACUCGGCCUGCCUCGCUGCUGCUGUAAUUCCUCUUGUCUCCUGGGAGAAAUGAGAUUGCUUUCCCAGGACUUCCACAUCCCACUUCUAUCAGGUUUCACCAACAGGGAGGAAGCCCUGUCAAGAUCUGGUGUGUCCUGUUUUUUUUUUUUUUUUUUCCCAGAGGGCACUGGCAUGUAGGAGAAGCGGAUUUACCACUAGUAGAUGUUAAUGAAAUUUCAGCUUCUAGGCCCCUAACUUGCAGGACCUGCCCAAGGCCCUGAACUUAAUUUUGUUUUCAUCAUUUGGUAUUUUUUUGUUAAAAGAGCCACCGACCACCUCCCCGCUACCCCAGAACUGCACGUGUUUCUGGCCCUACAAACCCAGAUCGUCCCUUGGAAUAUACACAGGGCAAUUUGUGUAGGAUCACACUGCGCUAAAAGUGAGGCAUGGUGGGCUAGGCGCACUGGCUCACACCUGUAAUCCCAGCACUUUGGGAGACCAAGACAGGAGGUCUUAAGUGAUUAAGCCCAGGAGUUCGAGAUCAGCUUAGACAACAUAGCAAGAUGCUGCCUCUACAAACACACACACCCCCUAUUAUAAUAUGUCAAAAAAAAAAAAAAAAAAAGGAAAAGUGAGGCAUAGAACUGACUUUAUUGUUUUGACUAGGAAAGAGCAAAGGGUUUGGAAUCAAAAGUCCCAACUUCCCCACCUUCUUAAUAGUGUGUGAAUCUGAGUGCCUUAUUAACCUUCCCUGGUCCCAGUUUCGUAUCUGUAAAGUUAGAAUAGCAAUCCUGUUUAAUUUGCUUCUCUCACCAGGGAUCAGAAGGCCAAAUGAGAUGAUGUAUGUAAAAUUGUAAAGUCCUCCACAGAUGGCACUUGCCACAUUACAGAGAACUUGAGACCCCCCCCCACCAAUAACGUUCCAAAUCUUCCACAUGCAGAUCUGGAGUCCAGGUGUCCUGGCUCCUGGCCCUGAACUUUUUGGCUGGGCCAAGGGGCUUUUCGGUAAAGUGCUUUGGAAUAAAACAGG
rnacentral:lncRNA from 10 species